rnacentral:rRNA from 1 species
GUGGCGAACGGGUGAGUAACACGUGAGUAACCUGCCCCUCACUCUGGGAUAAGCCUGGGAAACUGGGUCUAAUACUGGAUACGACCGAUCUCCGCAUGGAGUGUUGGUGGAAAGUUUUUGUGGUGGGGGAUGGACUCGCGGCCUAUCAGCUUGUUGGUGGGGUAAUGGCCUACCAAGGCGACGACGGGUAGCCGGCCUGAGAGGGCGACCGGCCACACUGGGACUGAGACACGGCCCAGACUCCUACGGGAGGCAGCAGUGGGGAAUAUUGCACAAUGGGCGAAAGCCUGAUGCAGCGACGCCGCGUGAGGGAUGACGGCCUUCGGGUUGUAAACCUCUUUCACCAGGGACGAAGCUAACGUGACGGUACCUGGAGAAGAAGCACCGGCUAACUACGUGCCAGCAGCCGCGGUAAUACGUAGGGUGCGAGCGUUGUCCGGAAUUAUUGGGCGUAAAGAGCUUGUAGGCGGUUUGUCGCGUCUGCUGUGAAAGACCGGGGCUUAACUCCGGUUCUGCAGUGGGUACGGGCAGACUAGAGUGUGGUAGGGGAGACUGGAAUUCCUGGUGUAGCGGUGAAAUGCGCAGAUAUCAGGAGGAACACCGAUGGCGAAGGCAGGUCUCUGGGCCAUUACUGACGCUGAGAAGCGAAAGCAUGGGGAGCGAACAGGAUUAGAUACCCUGGUAGUCCAUGCCGUAAACGUUGGGCGCUAGGUGUGGGA